CCUACGGGUGGCAGCAGUGGGGAAUAUUGGGCAAUGGAGGAAACUCUGACCCAGCAACGCCGCGUGAAGGAUGAAGGUCUUCGGAUGGUAAAGUUCUUUUCUAAGGGAAGAGGAAGGGGACGGUACCUAAGAAAUAAGCUUCGGCUAACUACGUGCAAGAAGCCGCGGUAAUACGUAGGAGGCGAGCGUUAUCCGGAAUUACUGGGCGUAAAGGGUGCGUAGGUGGUUUGGCAAGUUAGUAGCGUAACUCCAAGGCUCAACCUUGGAACUACUACUAAAACUGUUGGACUUGAGUGCAGGAGGGGCAACCGGAAUUCCUAGUGUAGCGGUGGAAUGCGUAGAUAUUAGGAGGAACACCAGUGGCGAAGGCGGGUUGCUAGACUGUAACUGACACUGAGGCACGAAAGCGUGGGGAGCAAACAGGAUUAGAUACCCUUGUAGUC
rnacentral:rRNA from 1 species